rnacentral:rRNA from 1 species
GGGGAAUAUUGGACAAUGGGCGCAAGCCUGAUCCAGCCAUGCCGCGUGUGUGAAGAAGGCCUUCGGGUUGUAAAGCACUUUCAGUUGGGAGGAAGGCCUGUAAGCUAAUACCUUGCAGGAUUGACGUUACCAACAGAAGAAGCACCGGCUAACUCCGUGCCAGCAGCCGCGGUAAUACGGAGGGUGCAAGCGUUAAUCGGAAUUACUGGGCGUAAAGCGCGCGUAGGUUGUUAGUUAAGCGAGAUGUGAAAGCCCCGGGCUUAACCUGGGAAUUGCGUUUCGAACUGGCUGACUAGAGUACGGUAGAGGGUGGUGGAAUUUCAGGUGCAGCGGUGAAAUGCGUAGAGAUCUGAAGGAACAUCAGUGGCGAAGGCGACCACCUGGACUGAUACUGACACUGAGGUGCGAAAGCGUGGGGAGCAAAC